UUGAAACUGCUUCAAGGAGAACAUUCUGUUACCUUCCUUGCUGUAUCAAAUAGAGCUCAGCUCCUUUCUUUUCUAUUCAUGUUUUCCACCUUUGUAUGUGUGACCAUGGUAGAUAAAGGUGUCAAGAAAAAGUCUGAAACGUUAGGUGAGAGAACCCAAGGAGAAACAUAACAGUGCAAAGUACAUGGUGAACUUUCUCUACAUUAAUAGAAGAGAGAUUUAUCGGGUUCUUUUGAAGAAUCUGACCUGGAGUUACACGCUGACUCCGGUUCUUUCGGCAAUGGGACCCGCUCUCGGGGUUUCACAACAGGCCGUUGUUCGGCACACCAAAGGUUCCGCCCAAGAGUUUGGCUCGGCUUCGGAGGCCUAGGAUCUCGGGGCUCUGGAGAUGGAUGGGUGUGUCGUGGAAACUGAAACAUCUUUGGCUGUGUCCCAAGAGACCUGAGAUCUUUGGGCACAAGCUCAAAAAAAAGCAACGCAAUGAACUUUUAACUUCAUAAGCCAGUGAGUUGUUUGUUAUGUGAGAGAGGAGAGAGAGAGACAGAGAGACCGUGCACACCUGUGGCAUGUCGAAUGUUGGGUGAACAAUGUACUCUUUGCAGUACUGCAAGUCUGUGUCUUUACUGUUGCUUUUGCUCAUGCUUGAGCACUUGCUGACAGGUACAGAUGCUUUUUUUUUGCCACUGGGGGGGAGGAGAGAUUGUUGCUUGCUGCUGCUUAUAUACUGGAGGGGGAGAGCUGGGGGGGACUUUGAGAUUCUAACAUUUAACUGUCGUUCAUUUUUUGGGACACUCAUCUGUUUUUGUGGAUGGUGGUGAAGAAAAAGCAUUUCAGGAUGUAUAUUGUAUACAUUUCUCUGACAUUAAAUGUACCUUUGAAACCUUUGAUUAAUAUGAUAGAAUGAAGGUCAUAACUCAGCUAUCUAGGGCACAAGUGAGACCAAAUCCCAAAUACUGCAUAAAGUGUUAAGUCUCCUCACUUAUGAAGGAUAUUAAUUGGUUGGAAGCAGAUCAAGAGCUUGUUCCACUAAAAGCACAAGCAUAGAUUAGUGCUCUGAAUUCAAUGAUCUCUGCUUUCAAGGGAACAAAAUUGAUUUUCACAGUCAGUGGACUGUAUUAUGAGAGACUACGGGAAAUAUUGGCACUUUUCAACCUUAAAGAUCAAUUAUGUUCCCCUGCCCAAAUUAUUUUAGUUGGAUAUUUUGAUGCUCAAUACUGUGUAUGUCUCGAAAUUAUAAAUUUGGCAGUUCCAUUGAUAAAAGCUAUUUAAAACAGUAGAUAUUGAUCAACACUAUAUUACUAAAGGCUAUAACAGAGAAUAACAACUCUGAGUUAUAUUGAAAUCCUGUAGAGAGACAAAGAGAGUUAAUAUUUCAGCUCAAUUAACUUUUACCAUGUGAUUUUUUUUUAAUGUCUGUUUAUAAGGUCAUUGACCUGAAACGUUAAUUUGAUAUCCAUCUUCACAAAUGCUGGCUGACCAAAUGAUGAAAAAAAGUGAUCAAGGUUCUUGAAAUUAUCAAAAUUAUGUUUCCAUUUGGCUUAAUACAGUUUGAUUGAUCACUGGUUGAACAGUUAUAUAAUACUUACUACAUAAACCCAUGCAAGAAAAAUAUGCAUCACAUCACCACAAUAACUACAAUCCACCAGCAACAAAAGUGACCAAAAAGUAGGAACAAAUAUUCUUUAAAAAUCAUUGCUUUUUUCCAGAUACAAUGUGCUUGUCCAAUUUCACAGUAAUUGAAAGUGAUCUACACAUCUAGGUUACUCUCCCUAGAAGGCAAGCCAUGUCCCAUUUAAUCCAGGUCACAAGCAAUGAAAGGACUUUUAAUACAACAGCAAAUCAAUGCCCUGUCAAGCGUACAACACUCAUUAAUGAAUGUGCACCUCCAGCGUGGUGUGCUCUUUGCAAGUGUCCCAAAGGACAUGCGAGGUCAACUGACUUUGGUAGCAGUCUAUAUUUCAUAUCAAACUUAGUCUGCCAAUUAUAGUUUAACAGUAAUAUAAUAAUCUAUGGCUCUGUAUUUGAACUACAUAUAUUCUUCGUAAACUUUCACAGUAAUAUAAUAAUCUAUGGCUCUAUAUUUGAACUACAUAUAUUCUUCGUAAACUUUCAUUCAGUUUGAAACGAUGCCUCUGUUGGCAAGAUGAGUGACUCUGAUGCCAACCAAAUGGACCUGUUUAUUUUACCAGUUCUGCUAAGUUAUACAAUUCUACCACAUUAGCACCAGAGUUCAUGGCUGAGCCGGUAGCUCAAACCCAAGAAAACAAGCGGACACAAAGUUUGGUGGAAAAAGAGAACAUGGAAGUUGAAAUGUGAAGAGGAUGUGUAUAACUGCAUAACAUUCCAGAAACUUCACACACAAAGAAGUCCAGUUACUAUGCAGGAAAGGUCUGAAAAAACAUAGAAGAGGAAAUUGAAACAAUUAGAAAGAAUGUUGAUACAUUAUUUCCCUUUUAAUUAGUGUCAUUCGUUAUCAUAAUGAAUUUGAGUAAUUUAAUGAAAGCAGACCAUUGCCUUUGGUACCGAAUACAGAAAAUGGUGCUUUCAGGUGAAUCCAGUCCAGACAAGCGAUAAUUGGACCAGGGUACACUAACAAAAUACCAUUUUCAUUCCCAAUAGAAUUCUAAGAGACUAUCAGUCUGUAGCUUCUGGUCUCAUUCCCUGGGAGUCUAAUUGGCCAUUUAUUCAUGUGUUUUCCUUGCCUUAAUUUGUAUUACACUUCAGAGUUUACAAAUUGAUGCUCUUCCACUUUUGGGAAUAGUUGACAUGAAUACAGAUUCCAUUAAAAACAAGAAAUCUUCCAUUUGCUAAAGCAGCAUGCAUUUCAGCAAAAAAUCAAGUCACUGAAAUAGUUCCUAAAUUUAAUGAAAUUCUAAAUUUGCACUAUGUACAAAUUGGCUGGCAUUUUUCCUGCAUGACAAGUGGCUCAACUGGAAAAGCAUUUUGCAACAUAUUGAGGUUAUGAAAACUGCUAUACAGAUGUGUGUUUUAUACCCAAGACUAAAAUAAAUGUUUUAAUUUAGUGAUUUCA